AGAGCAGGAUUCCAGCCCGGGACAGUGAAGACUACAACGGGCCUGGGAAGCCCCGGUGCUGUUAAAGCUCAAGCAAAGGCCAUGUUUAUACCACCAACGAAGGGCAUUUGAUUCCCAGCAUUAUGGAGACCAUGUGGAUUGUGGCCAAGAUGCAAGUUCAUCUAGUUAGCAGCUGCAGCUCCUCCUUGCUAAAUUCGGAGUCAGAAACUGGGAAAGGAAACCAACUCCAGUGACCAUCAGAGCAGUUAAUUACUGUGAAGAGCCUGUAGAUGGAAGCUGUGUACUUGUGCAGAGGAGAAAAACAGACUUUCUUGGAAUAAAGGUUUGACCAAAAGACUUCAGCUGAAUGUACAAUUUCUGACCAUCUGUACAUCAGUCUAGUGAAGACAGUUUAUUUUUUUUAACAAUGUGGGAAAAUACAGUGUGUGAAGGAGGGGGAAAGGAUAAACGGUAUGUUUUUAAAUGAAAAAAUGGAAGAAAAAUAUACAAGGGAAUAUAUAUGCCUGAAUUGAAGGCACAAGUAGUGCCUUCAGAAAACAUGUACUUA
rnacentral:lncRNA from 1 species